rnacentral:tRNA from 1 species
GGGGAUUUAGCUAAACGGCAUAAGCACCUGCCUUGCAAGCAGGCGGUCAUGAUCCCUG